ACAAUAAUUAAAUCUCGAAAUUGGGGUGUUUGAAAUAUUUACUGCAUCCCCAAAUUAUUAAAAGGAGUUGGACCCGUAUUUAAUUCUUCCACUCACUUAGCCCAAAUGAAUAAAUAGUUCCAGCCCAAGUAAGAAUACCCCAAAGGCGUUCAUCUCACCGCCAUUUGAGAUUAUCACCCAUUUAAAGCUCUAGCCGCCUGCUUCUCUCUUCCUCACAGCCGCCGCCACCAGCCACCUGCCGGCGGAGUUCUCUCCCCAUCUCUCUCUUUCUCAGAUCUGCCGCCGCCGCCACUGUGCAUGCACAGGCGGCGGCUUCGGCCUCCUCCGUGUAAUAUCCCUAAAGCAACAUACACGCCUCCAUCUCUCUCAAGUCUCUCCCUCCCUCCUUCCUUCCAAUCGGCGGAGCAAAUCAUCUCCCACCAGAACACCGCUCCUUCUUCUUUCCACACAGCCUCGCCGCCUCACCCGGAUGCCCUGUCUCUCGUUUCUCGCAUAUGCCGCCAUGUUGCCGUUGUUAUCGGUAAAGAUCGGACAUUUGUGCCGCCAUGCUGCAGUUGUCGUCGGUAAAGAUCGGAUCUUUAAAGUGGCUGUCAUUGUCGUCGGUAAGGAUCGGAUCCCUACUUCAUCUUCUCACCUUUUGUCCCCAUCUCUCUUGCUCCGGAUCCCUCAUUUUUCUCGGCCAGCAGCCUCCUUGCCGCCGCCACCCUUCCUCCCUCAGCCUUGCCGCGCUCUUCAUCCGUCAUCGGAGCUGUCGCCGCAUUCGAAGAGCUUUUCUCUGAUGCAAUCAAAAUUAAUGGUGUUAGGAAUUCAUCUCCCGCCAUCCCUGCUCAUCCCGUCGCCUCCAUCCAUCGUCGUCGUCGCUUUCAUCCAUCGUCACUGCAAUCGCCGUCGCUUCCAUCCAUCGUCGCUGCAAUCGCCGUCGCCUCCAUCCAUAGUCGAACAAUGAAUCCAAAUGAGAAAGAAUUUUCAAAAUGUUUUGAUCGACUGAAAAAAAGAAAAACAACAACCGUAGACUCCGAUCUGGAAAAAAGGUUGGCAGAAAUUGCAGCUGAGAUUGUACCAAUCGACAUACUUAAAGAACAAAUGAAAGGUCAUAAAGAUUCAGCAAAUAAAGCAGUUGCUGCCGAGAAAAGGAGUAAGAAUCGGGAGGAUGAAGCAGCUACUGUCGAGAAAAGGAUGAAGAAUUAGGAGGAUGAAGCAGCUACUGUAGAGAAAAGGAUGAAGAAUCGGGAGGAUAGACCUUCCAAACAAAAAACUACAGCUUCUACUACAAAUGUAGCAGAUGUUGCAGAGAAAAGGAUAAAGAAUCGGGAGGAUAAACCUUCCAAACAAAAUACUACCGAUUAUAAUGAAAAGAGGUCGAAGUAUAUUCAUGAUAGACCUCAAGCCUCAAAGAGAAAAGGUUUAAAUGAUGACAAUGAAGAGCCUGCUGCAAAGAAGCAGAGUAAGGCUAAAGGAAAGAAAAAAAUGAUGUCGGAUUUGAAAAUAUUAAAAUCAGGAGACCAAAACUUGUUGUCAAGGUAGGAGUUCUCAAUCAAUGCUCUCUUCUCUGUCGAAGACAGAACACCACUUCCGAAAAGCUGCUUCUUACCUUCUUCAAUAAUUGCAGUAAAUGCAUUGAUUUGAGCAAUGUUCCCUUCAAUACUUUGUGCUAUUUCAAAGAAUAAUGCAUACAAAUUUUUAAAUGCAAUCUUCUUCU